AUGCCAUCCCCUUUCUCCGGUCUCUCCUACUCACACAAGAUUAAUGUGCCAUCCAUGUAACUCUGGUCAUGCUAAAUUGCUAGUAGGAUACUAACUCUUUCUAGUGUGACCGUUAAGGCUCUCUUUGAUCCAGGCUCAACCCACCCAUCCUAUUAUUCUUCCAAGAAUCUCCCUUCACACCAUCUAUAUCUCUAGUCAAGCCUUACUGUUCACUAUUUUCCAAGCGGCCACCCUCCUUGGGACCAAAGUGUCCAUUACCCAUCCCCCCUCAGAAUUUGGAAAGUCCAAAGUGAACCACAUGUUUAUAGCUCCUGCCCUGCACCUCCUUUCCCACCUCAUUUUCUCUGAUUUGUGUCAGCAAACAUGUAUAAAACCUUCUCCCUGACCCUCCCUGAUAACACCCCUAGCAGUUCAGGCUUUAGAACGGGGCCCUGCUGCUCCAACUCAGACUUGUAAUUCCAAAAGGAAAAGCUAUGUGGGUCCAAAAAUCACUGGGUCAAUGAUCUUUGUCCACAAAAAACUCAGGGAACAGGGGCAUCCCCACCUUCUCCUUCUAAGCUAGGCCUGUCCUGGGCCCAAAGGGAAAAGCAAGUUGUGGGACACUGUGCCAGGCAAAUAUGAGGACCCUCUGCUGGCCUGACAUACUAGAUAGGCAAGAAGGUUGGGACAACCUCCCUAACCUUUUCAUCUAUACAUUCUUGCUUUGGUUCUAUGUAGAACCUCUGAAAAGGAGGUAGGGCCAAUGUUGGAUUCUAAGCUAAUACCAGAUUAAUUGUCCUCCUUCACUUAUUGACCCCAUUCAGGGCUGAGCUCAUGCCCUGCCUCUUCUAAGGGUCUUCCACUGAGAACUCCCAGAGCCCUCCCCGUCUCACCAAACAGGGCCUUGAUACCAGCUACUCAGUUUCCUUCCCCCAAAGCAAUCAAUGUUCACAAUGCUUUGUUUAUCCUUCCAGAAAUAGUCUAUGGCCUAUACUAGCAGGGGCACUUCCUCUAGCAAGACCGGAAUUAACUUGACUCCACCCAAGUAGAACCUGCCCAUUCCCCAGCUCACAGAUGAGGAGUAUUCAAGAAAGAUCAGCUGAUGAGCCCACAGGUGCUCAAAAUGCUCUCCAAUGCUCAGAGAAGAGUUCACCAUGUGCAAAAUUCACCAUGUGCACCAUCCUAUUGAUGAUCCAGAGAAAUGCUUUGUCAGAUGUUGGAACUGGACAAAAGCCCCCACCGUGACAAUCUUCAUGGGCUGCCAAGGGGCGGGACAAUGUAAAAAGAGGAACAACUGGUCUUGAUUCUCAACCGAAUGCUUCUGAGGCUGGAAUUCAGAGAAUUUGCUCAAAAUCAACUUGCUUGAAAUCAACUCCCAAACAUCACACGUUCUACUGGAAUACACCCCUACCAUACCACCAUUAAUAAUGAUGAAACUAAGCUAAAACAUCUGGUCAAUUAAAAAAAAUACAAUGCACAACUUAAUUCUAUCAUGUCUGAGCUGUAAGGAACCUGGACCUUAGAACUCACUUGUUCCAGAUGAGAAAAAUGAGGCCUAGAGUUUAAACAAUCCCUCCUAAUGUCACCCAGCCUAGCAAGUUUUUCCCAGGUAAGGAAGAAAAUAUGUAAAAUAUUUUUGUACUAAG